rnacentral:rRNA from 1 species
GGCGGACGGGUGAGUAAUGCCUAGGAAUCUGCCUAGUAGUGGGGGACAACGUUUCGAAAGGAACGCUAAUACCGCAUACGUCCUACGGGAGAAAGUGGGGGAUCUUCGGACCUCACGCUAUUAGAUGAGCCUAGGUCGGAUUAGCUAGUUGGUAGGGUAAAGGCCUACCAAGGCGACGAUCCGUAACUGGUCUGAGAGGAUGAUCAGUCACACUGGAACUGAGACACGGUCCAGACUCCUACGGGAGGCAGCAGUGGGGAAUAUUGGACAAUGGGCGAAAGCCUGAUCCAGCCAUGCCGCGUGUGUGAAGAAGGCCUUCGGGUCGUAAAGCACUUUAAGUUGGGAGGAAGGGCUCAUAGCGAAUACCUGUGAGUUUUGACGUUACCAACAGAAUAAGCACCGGCUAACUUCGUGCCAGCAGCCGCGGUAAUACGAAGGGUGCAAGCGUUAAUCGGAAUUACUGGGCGUAAAGCGCGCGUAGGUGGCUUGAUAAGUUGGAUGUGAAAUCCCCGGGCUCAACCUGGGAACUGCAUCCAAAACUGUCUGGCUAGAGUGCGGUAGAGGGUAGUGGAAUUUCCAGUGUAGCGGUGAAAUGCGUAGAUAUUGGAAGGAACACCAG